GGGGCUGAUUCUGGAUUCGACGGGAUUCGCGAAACCCAAGGUGCAUGCCGAGGGGCGGUUGGCCUCGUAAAAAGCCGCAAAACAAUAGUCGCAAACGACGAAAACUACGCACUAGCAGCUUAAUAACCUGCUUAGAGCCCUCUCUCCCUAGCCUCCGCUCUUAGGACGGGGAUCAAGAGAGGUCAAACCCAAAAGAGAUCGCGUGGAUGCCCUGCCUGGGGUUGAAGCGUUAAAUCCAAUCAGGCUAGUUUGUCAGUGACGUGUCUGUCCGCAGCUGGCUAGCGAAUGUAAAGACUAGACUAAGCAUGUAGUACCGAGGAUGUAGGAAUUUCGGACGCGGGUUCAACUCCCGCCAGCUCCACCA
rnacentral:tmRNA from 1 species